rnacentral:rRNA from 1 species
ACAACUUUCGACAACGGAUCUCUUGGCUCUCGCAUGAUGAAGAACG